rnacentral:rRNA from 1 species
AGUGAACGCUGGCGGUAGGCCUAACACAUGCAAGUCGAACGGCAGCACAGUAAGAGCUUGCUCUUACGGGUGGCGAGUGGCGGACGGGUGAGGAAUACAUCGGAAUCUACUUUUUCGUGGGGGAUAACGUAGGGAAACUUACGCUAAUACCGCAUACGACCUACGGGUGAAAGCAGGGGAUCUUCGGACCUUGCGCGAUUGAAUGAGCCGAUGUCGGAUUAGCUAGUUGGCGGGGUAAAGGCCCACCAAGGCGACGAUCCGUAGCUGGUCUGAGAGGAUGAUCAGCCACACGGGAACUGAGACACGGUCCAGACUCCUACGGGAGGCAGCAGUGGGGAAUAUUGGACAAUGGGCGCAAGCCUGAGCCAGCCAUACCGCGGGGGUGAAGAAGGCCUUCGGGUUGUAAAGCCCUUUUGUUGGGAAAGAAAAGCAGCAGGUUAAGACCCCGCUGUUCUGACGGAACCCAAAGAAUAAGCACCGGCUAACUUCGU